GACGAACGCUGGCGGCGUGCUUAACACAUGCAAGUCGAACGGAAAGGCCCUGCUUUUGUGGGGUGCUCGAGUGGCGAACGGGGGAGUAACACGUGAGUAACCUGCCCUUGACUUUGGGAUAACUUCAGGAAACUGGGGCUAAUACCGGAUAGGAGCUCCUGCUGCAUGGUGGGGGUUGGAAAGUUUCGGCGGUGGGGGAUGGACUGGCGGCUUAUCAGCUUGUUGGUGGGGUAGUGGCUUACCAAGGCUUUGACGGGUAGCCGGCCUGAGAGGGGGGCCGGCCACCUUGGGACUGCGAUACGGCCCAGACUCCUACGGGAGGCAGCAGUCGGGAAUAUUGCACAAUGGGCGGAAGCCUGAUGCAGCAACGCCGCGUGCGGGAUGACGGCCUUCGGGUUGUAAACCGCUUUCGCCUGUGACGAAGCGUGAGUGACGGUAAUGGGUAAAGAAGCACCGGCUAACUACGUG
rnacentral:rRNA from 1 species